GCGGAGUUCGCAUAGCCUGGUAGCGCGCCGGAUUUGAAAUCCGGUGGUUUCGGCCACGGGGGUUCGAAUCCCUCACUUCGCGCCA
rnacentral:tRNA from 2 species